UUGGGUUUCUGAGUUUGAAGAUUAGAAGCAACAGGGAAGAAGAAUUUGUUGUGCCGGUGAUCGUCAUGGGUUUUAUGCUAAAAUUCAGUCAAGAGAAGAGAUUUGAGCAGAGAUAACUAUGAAGAUGAACUGAUGAGUUGGUAUUUGAUACAAAAGAUGGGUUAUAUGCUGAAUUCGAGUUGGAAAUGGAAUUGAUUGUAUAUUGGUUCAGAUAUGAAGCACUGGUGGUUAUAAUGGGUUUGUGCACUGUGAGAAAUGGAUAUUAUUGAUGUUCAGGUGGAAUGAAUUGUAAGCUGGUGUUACAGGUGCAGUGGUGAUGGGUUUUGGUUGUUGGCCUAGCCCGAGGAUGAGCUGAAGAAGUUAAUUGCUUGCCAGGAGAGGUGGUUGUUAAUGGAAGAAGAACAGUGCAUUGGGACUGUUGUGUUACAGGGAACCAAAGGUGGUUGGUAUUGCAAGAGAUGGUAUUGUACAGCAUUAGUUGAGUUUUGAAGCUGCAGAAUGGCUGUGAGCCGAGAAAAAUGAGGCGGGAAAGAGCUACAGAAUGAGAUGGAGAACUGGUAGUUGGUAUCAGGGACCAUAACUUGGCUUAAGGCAGUGCAAAUGAAGUGCUGGUGGUGAUGAUUUGUUGUGACUGAGGUUUGAAAUAAUUGAAGUUACAGAGUUAUAAAUGAUGGGUUUGCUUGAGUUAUAAGAAGAACUGGUCAGAGUUGGUUUAUGAAGAACUAAAAAGCCUUAUGCAGCAGCGAAAGCUAGAGAGUAUCUCAACAAGCCUGCUAUACAUGAAACAAUGGUCGAGAUGAAGGAAUAUCCCAUAAGGACCUUGACAAAGUACAUUUUUAACUAGUCGUGCCGUAUGCAUAUUCCUUGGUGAUCUUUUGGUUUCACUGGCUAUUGAA